UCAGUCCUGGGAUGUACGUUAAAGCCUGUAAAUUCAACCUACAGAAGACAUCCGGGAGCUCGUGUUCCUUUAUGGAUGAAAUGCCUCCAAAGAGAGGACUUCAGAAGUAAAGGAUAGAUCACCCACUUAGGUGAGUGGCGGGUGUGAAUUUAUGGCGGACGGCAUUCUGGGGAGUUA
rnacentral:other from 1 species